GACGAACGCUGGCGGCGUGCCUAAUACAUGCAAGUAGAACGCUGAAGAGAGGAGCUUGCUCUUCUUGGAUGAGUUGCGAACGGGUGAGUAACGCGUAGGUAACCUGCCUUGUAGCGGGGGAUAACUAUUGGAAAUGAUAGCUAAUACCGCAUAACAAUGGAUGACACAUGUCAUUUAUUUGAAAGGGGCAAUUGCUCCACUACAAGAUGGACCUGCGUUGUAUUAGCUAGUAGGUGAGGUAAUGGCUCACCUAGGCGACGAUACAUAGCCGACCUGAGAGGGUGAUCGGCCACACUGGGACUGAGACACGGCCCAGACUCCUACGGGAGGCAGCAGUAGGGAAUCUUCGGCAAUGGGGGCAGCCCUGACCGAGCAACGCCGCGUGAGUGAAGAAGGUUUUCGGAUCGUAAAGCUCUGUUGUAAGUCAAGAACGGGUGUGAGAGUGGAAAGUUCACACUGUGACGGUAGCUUACCAGAAAGGGACGGCUAACUACGUG
rnacentral:rRNA from 1 species